rnacentral:misc_RNA from 1 species
GCAAACUUGGUCAUUUAGAGGAAGUACAAGUCGUAACAAGGUUUCCGUAGGUGAACCUGCGGAAGGAUCAUUAACAAAUCUCGAUGGGGGGGGUGGUGGUGUGCGGCUGGCAUGGCAUGCGUGCUGCUGCUCCCCGACAUGUAAUGUAGUGUAAUGUGAUGUGAUGUGAUUUCAUGUUAUAUUAUAUUAUGUUAUAUGAUAUGAUAUAAGCGCUCUGGGAAGCCUCUGGGCUGUAGUGGUGGUGAUGAUGGGGUUCGGGGGUGGUACCAGACUGCAUGUUGUGUGUGUGUGUGUGUGUGAGUUGUGAUUGAUUGAUUGAUUGAUUGAUGCGCUUUGUUGUAGUUUGGUUUGGUUUGGUUUGAUUUGUGAAAGAAUGGUAAUGGAUACUCUUAACAAUGGAUCUCUUGGUUCUUGCAUCGAUGAAGAACGCAGC